GACGAACGCUGGCGGCGUGCCUAAUACAUGCAAGUUGAGCGCUGAAGGUUGGUACUUGUACCGACUGGAUGAGCAGCGAACGGGUGAGUAACGCGUGGGGAAUCUGCCUUUGAGCGGGGGACAACAUUUGGAAACGAAUGCUAAUACCGCAUAAAAACUUUAAACACAAGUUUUAAGUUUGAAAGAUGCAAUUGCAUCACUCAAAGAUGAUCACGCGUUGUAUUAGCAAGUUGGUGAGGUAAAGGCUCACCAAGGCGACGAUACGUAGCCGACCUGAGAGGGUGAUCGGCCACAUUGGGACUGAGACACGGCCCAAACUCCUACGGGAGGCAGCAGUAGGGAAUCUUCGGCAAUGGACGAAAGUCUGACCGAGCAACGCCGCGUGAGUGAAGAAGGUUUUCGGAUCGUAAAACUCUGUUGGUAGAGAAGAACGUUGGUGAGAGUGGAAAGCUCAUCAAGUGACGGUAACUACCCAGAAAGGGACGGCUAACUACGUGCCAGCAGCCGCAGUAAGAC
rnacentral:rRNA from 1 species